CAUGUGCAUGCAGAAAUUGAUGAAAGUACUGUCAAGCACUUCCACAGAGGUAUUCAGUUGAUCUCUUUAAGGUCAAUGAUAUUGUAAUCUGACUGGUACUUCCAUCAUCGUGCCUCCUACACUCUACGUGGCUGGCUAAAAUGACUGUCCCAGCUAUUUCCAUUACCUACUCUCAUGCAUUGUGCCUCCUUCGCCCCCAACUUGAAGUAUGUGAUUAUUUUCAGCCAAUUAGUGACAUACUAUUAAGAUCAGUCCACAAUAGAGCUUAGACAUGUCAAAAUCACCUUUAUAUGGUCUCUAAAUACUUCACAUAUAUUUUGGAAUUUCUUUUACAGAAUUAAGUGCUAAAUGCUCAGAACUAGCACUUUCAGGGAUUAUUAGGUUCUCUCUCUAAGUAUACAUAUCCUAAUGGCCCUUGGUGGUAUAGCUUAAGAUUAAAAUAUGUUGAAAAGUUGUAGCUUCUAAAUGUAAUGUACUAACUUUAAAUUUGUACUUGAAUUAUUUUGUCAAGAAUUUUUGUGAUCCAUAUCUACACAAUAGCAGGUCGAUCGGUGGACACGGAAGGAAGAGAAGAGAAAAGGAGAAUAAAACCUCUCCCGAGCAUAAAACGUGAAAGAAUUGUUGAUGAUAUUCUCAAUUAUACUGUGCAUAUAUGCAUACUAGAAGAUUAACAAUCCAUUGAGAAGCUUAAGAUAAAGCUGUAAGACUAAUUGUUUCCCAUGCCCUGUAGAAGUCUCACAGUUCCAUUCUUCUAUUUUUUGUUUGUUUGUCCACGAAAAGGUAGCUGCCCCUAAAAUUCACAUGAUGAUUUUAGAUCAUAAUUGGCCAGUUCAGUAUAAAUCCAAUCCAUCUAUUUCUUAUUGCAAAAUUCAAGUAUUAUGUUGCCUUAUGUUUAGAGACCAUCCUCAAAAGGGUGUACACGCUUCUGAAGUUCACACACAAUAAGGUGGUUAGAAGCAUUAGUGUCUCAUGCUUAGGGCUGAUGUAUUUAAAGCUUCAUUUCAGAUUACUCAUGCUUGAAUAGUUGUGUGGAUGGUAACAGAGAUAAAAGUCCAGGUGACUUCAAAUACCAAAUCAAAGCCAUGGAGAACAUCAUAGACAAUGUUUAAACAGGUGAGGUUGAGGCAAAUAUUACCUUGCCCGGAGCAUAGGGUGAGGAGGCUGAGAGGAAGGAGACCAUGGAGCUGUUCCCGCAGAGUAGGGGCGGAGCUACACCCCGGGCAACCAGGGCCAUGGCCCGGGGCGCAGCAAUUGUACCUCCAUACAACUAUGGAGAUUAUCGAAUCGGCCUGGGAUUGACCCAUCUCAGCUGCCAAUGGUGCAUCGUCGUCGAUCGAAUUGCUCGAACCCUUCCUUUCUCUGCUAGAUACUCUGCUUAGAUGCUUUUGCUGCUACUGCUGGUCCGCCCUGCCUUGUCGCGUCCUGCCCUCCUCCAUGCGAGCGUUCCGGCCGGCACCCUCGAAGGCUGGUGCGAUGCUAUGCCUCUGCUCUAAGUCUUUUCUUUCCUAGUUCUCCUAGUACAUGCUUCGCCCAAUGGGAGUAGGUAAUUGAUUCAGCUGCGGCUCCCUGUCUGAGCUACGUGAUUGACUAAUUCUGUUCUAUCUCAGUGGCUCAGUUGAAUAGAUCAAUAGACUGUCCAGAAAUCAAGCACUGAUUUUUGUAGUACUAUCUUUUUUAUCUUCGUAUUACCAUUACUCUUUUA